CGGCUCAGACGUGUAAAUUUGCUUAUUCCGACCUGAAAUGAGUAUUUAUUUGUUUGCCAUGGCCUUUUUUUAACUCAAUAUAAGGUUAAAGAUUACUAAGAAAAACAAAAUUAAAUAAAAGUAACAUUUAAAUUUAGCUGGAAUCUAACACAAAUUACCAUUGCAUAACAUCGUCUGUAUUUUUAAGAACUGCCACAGGUCUUUGUGACAUUGUGUCCAGCAAGUUCUGGAGUUCUUAAAGAUGUCUCGACAUCGGAAAGCUCAACGUUGCUAAAAAUCCAUCUUCAGACUAUUUUAAUGUUUUUUUAAGGUAUGACACGAAGCACCAUCUUACUGAAAAAUAAAAUGUCGUCCACAAUAUACAACGUCUCGCAAUGUAGGCGUAAAAAUUCUUAUAAAAUGUUCUUUUUUUUGUAUUGAUAGUUCCAUGAAUAAAAUGUACUAUUAUAGUUA